AACGAACGCUAGCGGCGUGGAUUAGGCAUGCAAGUCGAACGAGAAAGUUCCCUUCGGGGAACCGGUAAAGUGGCGAACGGGUGAGUAAUGCAUAAAUGACCUGCCCAGAUGACGGGAUAACUUCUCGAAAGGGAAGCUAAUACCCGAUGUUGUUCACGGAUCACGGUCCAUGAACCAAAGGUGGCCUCUGUUUCAAGCUGCCGCUUUUGGAGGGUUUAUGUGCUAUUAGCUAGUUGGUGGGGUAACGGCUCACCAAGGCUUUGAUGGCUAGCCGACCUGAGAGGGUGACCGGCCACAUUGGGACUGAGACACUGCCCAGACUCCUACGGGAGGCUGCAGUCGAGGAUCUUCCUCUAAUGUGCGAAAGCAUGAAGGAGCGACGCCGCGUGAGGGAUGAAGGCCUGG
rnacentral:rRNA from 1 species